rnacentral:rRNA from 1 species
CCUACGGGAGGCAGCAGUGAGGAAUAUUGGACAAUGGGCGGGAGCCUGAUCCAGCCAUGCCGCGUGCAGGAAGACUGCCCUAUGGGUUGUAAACUGCUUUUAUACAGGAAGAAUAAGCCUUACGUGUAAGGUGAUGACGGUACUGUAAGAAUAAGGACCGGCUAACUCCGUGCCAGCAGCCGCGGUAAUACGGAGGGUCCGAGCGUUAUCCGGAAUUAUUGGGUUUAAAGGGUCCGUAGGCGGAUGAUUAAGUCAGAGGUGAAAGUUUGCAGCUCAACUGUAAAAUUGCCUUUGAUACUGGUUAUCUUGAGUUGUAUUGAAGUAGGCGGAAUAUGUAGUGUAGCGGUGAAAUGCAUAGAUAUUACAUAGAACACCAAUUGCGAAGGCAGCUUACUAAGUACUAACUGACGCUGAUGGACGAAAGCGUGGGUAGCGAACAGGAUUAGAUACCCUGGUAGUCCACGCCGUAAACGAUGGAUACUAGCUGUUCGGGGCCUUGAGUUCUGAGCGGCUAAGCGAAAGUGAUAAGUAUCCCUCCUGGGGAGUACGUUCGCAAGAAUGAAACUCAAAGGAAUUGACGGA